UAUAAGAGUUCCAGGUGGAGGAGGAUGCCAUUUUUCAUAUUCGCCUUGGCAUUGAUUCUUUUUUGGGGCUUUUCUAUUCCAAGCAGAGAAACAGUCCUUUGAUGUGGUGGCGUUGAACAAGGUUCGGUGCGGAUUUAAGGGAUGAGUCGUUCCACACUUGGGUCAUCCAGGGGCAGAGCAGUAAAGUGUGCUCAAUCGUCUCGGGUUCCGACUUGCAUAUUGGGCAUAACGGUUCAGGAUGUUGUCCUGAAUUUGCCGACUCCCGACGAAAGCGCUCUGUUCCUCAACAAUGAUGUCUGGAAUAAGAGUAAUUCAGGUUCUAUUGAUGUCUGGGUUUAUGAUUCCAGACUCAAAGAAACGCUGUACCUCUCUGAAAACAUCCGCACCUAUGUCUUGCCAAUGCUGAUGGAAAAAUAGGCCAUUCAGACCAUCCGGUCUAGGAGCUUUGGAAGCCCCCAUUUGGUAGAGUUGACAAGAUAAGAGGACUGUGGUCUGAACCAAUGGCUGGUAAAGCUGCAACUUCAGCAUUCGGGUAAAAGCGCACCCUUUGGCUUCCAAGUCCAUCAGUGAACAUGCAUAUAAGAAGUCCCUGAAUGCGCUUCUUUGAGGUUUUCAUCAUGAAGGGUGAGCAUAGAUUCAGCAUCCAAGCAGCUGUUAUCACGUUUUUGAGGAGAUUUGCCUUCCAUAAUAGUCAAGGGUCGGGAAGAUACAAGUUGUGCAGCUUGCUGUUCUUCCUCAUAAGAGUGUUGUGAUCGGGGAGGCAAAAGGGCCUGCUUUCCUGCAUUUGAUGGUUCUUGAGUUUCAUGGAUUUCCGCUUGAAGAGGAGUCUCCGGCACCAUUUCUUCUUCUUCAAUGAGCUGGGAUUGUUUUCCAUAGAAGAUUUUGCCAUAUGGGCUUAGUAUCCGUGCUUCCGCUCGCAACCAAUUCCCAAAAUUACCCGCUUCACCUCAAGAACUUCGCCGAUCCUUGAAGCAAUUUCUCUAACUACCUCCGAUGUAACUC